rnacentral:misc_RNA from 1 species
UUGGAAAUUCAUCUAAGGGCAUGGUUAUGCUGCUGUAAGAUUCUUUCUGAUCUGUAUGGUAUGGAAAUCUCGUACUUAGUUAUCAGAUUACAUUAUGUUUCACUGUUAAUUACUUGAAGUGAAAUGUAUCAUUACAGGGACAAGAGUUAUUGUAGUAACUGUUGCUUUCUGAGUUCCCCUAAGUUCAGUUACUGAGAACCAGUGACACUGAUACUCUAUGUUUUGUGGAUAUAAUAUAUUAAGAAAAGACUGAAUUUUAAACUUUUUUUCUUUUCAAUGCUUGACAUAAUCAGUAUCAUGAUUGGGUUUCUG